GAUGAACGCUGGCGGCGUGCCUAAUACAUGCAAGUCGAACGAAAAGACGAGGAGCUUGCUCGUCGGACGGUAGCGGCGGACGUGAGAGUAACACGUGUAUACCCUACCUAUAAGUCUGGGAUCACUUCGGGAAACCGGAGCGAAUACGGUAUAAGGUAUUGAACCGCAGGGUGCAAUAGUGAAAGACGGCGGUGCGGUCACUGAUAGAUGGAUCCGCGCCUCAUUAGCUAGUUGGUAAGGUAACGGCUUACCAAGGCGACGAUGCGUAGCCGACCUGAGAGGGUGAUCGGCCACACUGGAACUGAGACACGGUCCAGACUCCUACGGGAGGCAGCAGUAGGGAAUCUUCCGCAAUGGGCGAAAGCUUGACGGAGCAACGCCGCGUGAGUGAUGAAGGUCUUCGGAUCGUAAAACUCUGUUAUUAGGGAAGAACAACUGUGUAAGUAAAUAUGCACGUCUUGACGGUACCUAAUCAGAAAGCCCCGGCUAACUACGUG
rnacentral:rRNA from 1 species